GAGGACCGAACCGACUAAUGUUGAAAAAUUAGCGGAUGACCUGUGGCUGGGGGUGAAAGGCCAAUCAAACCGGGAGAUAGCUGGUUCUCCCCGAAAGCUAUUUAGGUAGCGCCUCGUGAAUUCAUCUCCGGGGGUAGAGCACUGUUUCGGCUAGGGGGCCAUCCCGGCUUACCAACCCGAUGCAAACUGCGAAUACCGGAGAAUGUUAUCACGGGAGACACACGGCGGGUGCUAACGUCCGUCGUGAAGAGGGAAACAACCCAGACCGCCAGCUAAGGUCCCAAAGUCAUGGUUAAGUGGGAAACGAUGUGGGAAGGCCCAGACAGCCAGGAUGUUGGCUUAGAAGCAGCCAUCAUUUAAAGAAAGCGUAAUAGCUCACUGGUCGAGUCGGCCUGCGCGGAAGAUGUAACGGGGCUAAACCAUGCACCGAAGCUGCGGCAGCGAACGUAUCACCCAAGACAACUUUACGGAGUUGACGAUUGACGGAGCGAAGCGACGUCAAAGCGUUCAUUAAAGUCGAGUUGGCUUAGGGAUACGUUCGUUGGGUAGGGGAGCGUUCUGUAAGCCUGUGAAGGUGUGUCGUGAGGCAUGCUGGAGGUAUCAGAAGUGCGAAUGCUGACAUAAGUAACGAUAAAGCGGGUGAAAAGCCCGCUCGCCGGAAGACCAAGGGUUCCUGUCCAACGUUAAUCGGGGCAGGGUGAGUCGACCCCUAAGGCGAGGCCGAAAGGCGUAGUCGAUGGGAAACGGGUUAAUAUUCCCGUACUUGGUGUUACUGCGAAGGGGGGACGGAGAAGGCUAUGUUGGCCGGGCGACGGUUGUCCCGGUUUAAGCGUGUAGGUGUGUGUUCCAGGUAAAUCCGGUUCACUUUAACACUGAGGCGUGACGACGAGGCACUACGGUGCUGAAGCAACAAAUGCCCUGCUUCCAGGAAAAGCCUCUAAGCAUCAGGUAACAUCAAAUCGUACCCCAAACCGACACAGGUGGUCAGGUAGAGAAUACCAAGGCGCUUGAGAGAACUCGGGUGAAGGAACUAGGCAAAAUGGUGCCGUAACUUCGGGAGAAGGCACGCUGACACGUAGGUGAAGUGAUUUACUCAUGGAGCUGAAGUCAGUCGAAGAUACCAGCUGGCUGCAACUGUUUAUUAAAAACACAGCACUGUGCAAACACGAAAGUGGACGUAUACGGUGUGACGCCUGCCCGGUGCCGGAA
rnacentral:rRNA from 1 species